UCUUUGGUAGUAUAGUGGUUAGUAUACCCGCCUGUCAAAACACGAAGUCCCCCCCUUGAUGGAGUGUCUUUGUGUGUACUGCACGCGGGUGACCGGGGUUCAAUUCCCCGCCAGAGAG